rnacentral:rRNA from 1 species
UACGUAGGGUGCAAGCGUUAUCCGGAAUUACUGGGCGUAAAGCGCACGUAGGCGGCUUGUUAAGUCAGGGGUGAAAUCCUGGAGCUCAACUCCAGAACUGCCUUUGAUACUGAAGAUCUUGAGUUCGGGAGAGGUGAGUGGAACUGCGAGUGUAGAGGUGAAAUUCGUAGAUAUUCGCAAGAACACCAGUGGCGAAGGCGGCUCACUGGCCCGAUACUGACGCUGAGGUGCGAAAGCGUGGGGAGCAAACAGG